rnacentral:snRNA from 1 species
AUUGUUUCUCAGCCUUUUGGCUAAGAUCAAGUGUAGUAACUACCUAAUACUAAAAGAGAUCACAAAAAUUAAUUAACCAAGAUCUCAC